CACGUAGGGCGCGAGCGUUGUCCGGAAUUAUUGGGCGUAAAGAGCUCGUAGGCGGCCUGUUGCGUCCGCUGUGAAAGCCCGGGGCUUAACCCCGGGUCGGCAGUGGAUACGGGCAGGCUAGAGGUAGGUAGGGGAGAAUGGAAUUCCUGGUGUAGCGGUGAAAUGCGCAGAUAUCAGGAGGAACACCGAUGGCGAAGGCAGGUCUCUGGGCCACUACUGACGCUGAGAAGCGAAAGCAUGGGGAGCGAACAGG
rnacentral:rRNA from 1 species